CGUUCACCUAGAAACUUCAUUUAACCAUCAAAACGCAGUGAUUUUUCUUGUCUCCGCAGGAAUGUAGUUUAUGUCAGGCUGAGAUUUACAGUUUUUGAUCAGUGAGUCCUCAAAAAAGUGAAAAUUCUCAAAAUCUGCUCUGGUUAGAGUGCAGCAUGUCAGUUGGUAGAGUGGAGGAGAGGUGAAAAAUCCGCCUGAAAAUUUCCCGAUCGCAUCGCCCUCACGACCAAACGAUAAAUGUUAGGGGAAUGAAAUUUGGUCAGAUUGUAAACAAUUUUCCUGGGAUUCAAAUGAAUCCAAGUUUGAAGACCUAGCUCUUUCUGAAGUGAAAUGGCAGGCAGCAGUUUAGACCAAAGUCGCACCGUUCUCUCCAUAAGAACCAAUGUAAACUGAAUCAUCUGCCUCAUGGAGGGACAGUGUUUUUUAAAUCGCUGUAACUCGGUCAUUUCUCAGAAUAUUUGGAAAAUAAUUACAUUUAUGGAAAGCCACAGCCUUCCUCUCGCUCACGGUCAUUUUAGUUUUCAGCUACCAUUAACGGUUAGCCCACAGUUAACGCCAGAACGAGACGUUGCACGCUGCUGCUGAGAAGCACUUUUCUGCUGUCUGUGGCAGGCACCGUUGCUAUGGGGCCCAUAGCAACCGCCCUUACACACGCGCAGGCAUGGUCGCACGCACACACACAGACUCAUUGGAAUGCCACACCCACCUCCACACCCAAUACCUCCACAGGAGCUGCAUUUCAGCCUGAAAAUCAGUUCAACCUCUCAGCUUCACACAGCCUUGAGAGCAGGGGUGUCAAACUCAGUUCCAACACACCUGAUUCAAAUGAUCAGGCUCGUUAUCAGGCUUCUGCUGAGCUUGAUGAUGAGGUGAUCAUUUGAAUCAGGUGUGUUGGAAAAGGGAAACAUCUAGAACAUAGAGGAUAGUGGACCUCCAGGAACUGAGUUUGACACACCUGCUUUAGAGUAACUCCAAUCCAAAUGUUGACCAGGUGAGAUCGUCCUGUCUUUGCCUUUCAAAAUAAAAGCACAGCACAAUUUCAAAAUAAAAGCCUGCGACGGACUGGAAACGCCAGUUAAACCUCUCAGCUUCACACAGCCUUUAGAGCAGGGGUGUCAAACUCAGUUCCAACACACCUGAUUCAAAUGAUCAGGCUCGUUAUCAGGCUUCUGCUGAGCUUAAUGAUAGCUAAUCAUUUGAAUCAGGUGUGUUGUAAGAAGGAAACAUCUGGAACACAGAGGAUAGUGGACCUCCAGGAACUGAGUUUCACACCCCUGCUUUACAGUAACUCCAAUCCAAGGUCAGAUCUUCCGGUCGUUGCCUUUCAAAAUAAAAGCACAGCACGAUUUCAAAAUAAAAGCCUGCGACAGACUGGAAACGCCAGUUAAACCUCUCAGCUUCACACAGCCUUUACAGUAACUCCAAUCCAAAUUUUGACCAGGUGUGAUCUUCCUGUCACUGCCUUUCAAAAUAAGAGCACAGCACAAUUUCAAAAUAAAAGCCUGCGACAGACCGGAAAACGCCAGUUAAACCUCUCAGAUUCACACAGCCUUUACUCCAAUCUAAAUUUUGACCAGGUGAGAUCUUCCUGUCUUUGCCUUUCAAAGUAAAAGCACAGCACAAUUUCAAAAUAAAAGCUUGCGACAGACUGGAAAACGCCAGUUAAACCUCUCAGCUUCACACAGCCUUUAGAAUAAAUACGCCUUUCCAGACAUGCACACAUCCCGAGCCCCUCCCACGAUUUCCGCGAGCGGGAAUUGUCUAGUAUUUCCAUUACUACCCCAAUGUCAUUUUUUCUUCACGUUUCUGCCGAUUUUCGGUCGCUAACUCGUCCUAGGGCUUUGAGAAAACCAAAGCAAAUUAUACAUCAAAACGUGCGGCUUCAUCGGGAAUAGUGUGCUAUGACUUUUCUAAGAAAUUCGUAAUUUUUUCGCAGAAUUAUUCGCAAAAAACUGCGCAAAAAGUCCCAUAGGAAAUGAAUGGGGACUGAUGAAAAUCUGCUUGAAAAAUCCAGUGUUUUCCAAACGCCACUGCUUCGCCAUACAUUCACCGAGAAGCUUCAUUUAACCAUCAAAACGCAGUCAUUUUUCUUGUAUCCGCAGGAAUGUAGUUUAUGUCAGGCUGAGAUUUACAGUUUUUGAUCAGUGAGUCCUCAAAAAAGUGAAAAUUCUCAAAAUCUGCUCUGGUUAGAGUGCGGCAUGUCAGUUGGUAGAGUGGAGGAGAGGUGAAAAAUCCGCCUGAAAAUUUCCCGAUCGCAUCGCCCUCACGACCAAACGAUAAGAGUUAGGAAAAUGAAAUUUGGUCAGAUUGUAGACAAAUUUCCUGGGAUUCAAAUGAAUCCAAGUUUGAAGACCUAGCUCUU